CUUUAUUUGUACUUUGCCAGUUUUUGCAUUACUGAUGUGUUCCUGUCCCAGAAUCCAGCUCAAGCUAUCACAGUGCAUUUAAUCCUCAUGCCUGCAUCGUCUCCCCGGGUCUGUGACAGCUGCUCGGACUUUGCUUUCAUGGCCUUCAGGAGUACUGGGCAGGGCGGGCUGUUGGGGGUCUAUUAGAUACAUGGAUGACGAUCGGACAAUUUAAGCCGAUUCCUCAGAUCAUAAUGGAGCUGCCCCCUGAUGCGAAGCAAAAGCUGUAUAAUGAAGCCACCGCCAUCCUCAGGGACCUGAAGUGGAAGGACACUGUGGAGCUGACCAAGCAGGUCAUGGACAAUGAGUUUGUGAAGAAGCAGCUGCUGGUGACUCUGAUAACAACAGCCUGGAGCAAAACUUAGAAGACUCAGGAUGGUACAAAUGGAAAAGCAAGGCUUCCUCCAGCAUGAAUUCUGCACCAGGACCCUCACCAGAGGCAGCCUUAACGUGGUUUUUAAAUAGUCUUUGAAAAACAUUUCCAUUUGCCAGCAUUUAUUGAUGAAAGCUUAGAACAAUCGAGUAAUGGAUAAUGAAACUACUACAAAUGUUACCACCUAGGAAGUCUUUACACAUUCAGUAUGUAUCCUGUAAACCUUCUAAUGCUAUGUAUGCACAUUUCCAGCAUAUUUACAUUCUUCCUAUUUAGACCUCUUUGAAUGCUUUUACCAAUUAAAAUUAAAAAAAUAUUUGUGAUUUAAUUUAAAA